rnacentral:rRNA from 1 species
GAUGAACGCUGGCGGCGUGCUUAACACAUGCAAGUCGAACGAUGAAGCCCAGCUUGCUGGGCGGAUUAGUGGCGAACGGGUGAGUAACACGUGAGUAACCUGCCCUUGACUCUGGGAUAAGCCCGGGAAACUGGGUCUAAUACCGGAUAGGAGCGCCUGUCGCAUGACGGGUGCUGGAAAGAUCUUUCGGUCAUGGAUGGACUCGCGGCCUAUCAGCUUGUUGGUGAGGUAACGGCUCACCAAGGCGACGACGGGUAGCCGGCCUGAGAGGGUGACCGGCCACACUGGGACUGAGACACGGCCCAGACCCCUACGGGAGGCAGCAGUGGGGAAUAUUGCACAAUGGGCGAAAGCCUGAUGCAGCGACGCCGCGUGAGGGAUGACGGCCUUCGGGUUGUAAACCUCUUUCAGCAGGGAAGAAGCGAAAGUGACGGUACCUGCAGAAGAAGCACCGGCUAACUACGU